GGCCUGACGAAGUGGCAUCACCUCUUCAAGGCAUUAGCCACAAAAUUGAUUAUAAUUCAUUGGUUUACCAGCUGAGUACCUGAAAUAUUAAGCAGACAAAAAAAAAAACAAAUGACUUCAUGCUAGUUUGGAGAAAGUAAAGAGAUUACCUUGAGUGGAGGCUUGUGCACCUUUAAAAAAAAUAUUUCAUAUCUGUUAUGUUAACUAGUACUAUGGUUAUCACUAAAGCUGGCCCAUUCUGGGGCUCAAGAAAAGGACUAUGGACAACAUGGUUAGGCAAAAACAUGUCCUUAAUUCCUUUUUGAGAACUUUAUACGUUUUAUUAAUGAAUGAAUUCAGUUAACACGAAGACUCAAAUCUACUAUGAAACAUGAACCAAGACAAUGCAUGCUAUGUAAAUGAUUUUUGAUGAUGUCUUCCUUCUCAUUCUUCAUAAAUUAUAACAAAGAUAGGUUUACAAUAAAAUUGAUUGGCUACCAUUU